ensembl:lncRNA
UGGGGCUGUAAAAGUUGGAUGUGGGUCGCUAUGGGUUGUUAGGGGUCACUAUGGGUCUCUGUGGGUCUCUAUGGGUCCAAUAUGGGUCUCUACGGGUACUUAUGGGUGGGAUGUGGGUCGCUAUGGGUCUCUAUGGGUUGUUAUGGGUCACUAUGGGUCUCUAUGGGUGGGAUGUGGGUCGCUAUGGGUCGCUGUGGGGCAGGGAGCCGUGGCUGUGGGUCCUUAUGGGUUGGAUGUGGGUCUCUAUGGGGCUAGAUGGAUUGGAUUUGGGUCUCUAUGGGUUGUUAUGGCUCACUAUGGGUCUCUAUGGGUCCCUAUGGGUGGGAUGUGGGUCGCUAUGGGGCAGGGAGACGUGGUUGUGGGUCCUUAUGGGUCACGAUGGGUCUCUAUGGAUCCUUAUGGGUUGGAUGUGGGUCGCUAUGGGUCUCUAUGGGUUGUUAUGGGUCUCUAUGGGUGGGCUGUGGGUCGCUAUGGGUCUCUAUGGGUUGUUAUGGCUCACUAUGGGUCUCUAUGGGUCCCUAUGGGUGGGAUGUGGGUCGCUAUGGGUCGCUGUGGGGCAGGGAGCCGUGGUUGUGGGUCCUUAUGGGUCACUAUGGGUCUCUAUGGGUCCUUAUGGGUCGGAUGUGGGUCUCUAUGAGUCACUAUGGGUCUCUGUGGGUCUCUGUGGGUCCCUAUGGGUGGGAUGUGGGUCGCUAUGGGUCUCUAUGGGUUGUUAUGGGUCGUUAUGGGUCUCUGUGGGUCUCUAUGGGGCUGUAAAGGUUCUAUGUGGGUUGCUAUGGGUCUCUGUGGGUUGUUAUGGCUCACUAUGGGUCUCUAUGGGUGGGAUGUGGGUCGCUAUAGGUCGCUGUGGGGCAGGGAGCCGUGGUUGUGGGUCCUUAAUGGGUGGGAUGCGGGUCGCUAUGGGUCUCUAUGGGUCUCUGUGGGUCUCCAUGGGUCCAAUGUGGGUCUCUAUGGGUCCCUAUGGGUGGGAUGUGGGCCACUAUGGGUCGCUGUGGGGCAGGAAGCUGUGGUUGUGGGUCCUUAUGGGUCUCUAUGGGUCUCUGUGGGUCUCUAUGGGUCCCUAUGGGUGGGAUGUGGGUCGCUAUGGGGCAGGGAGCCGUGGUUGUGGGUCUUUAUGGGUCGGAUGUGGGUCGCUAUGAGUCUCUAUGGGUCUCUAUGGGUCAGACGUGGGUCUCUAUGGGUCCCUAUUGGUGGGAUGUGGGUCACUAUGGGUCUCUAUGUGUCACUAUGGGGCAGGGAGCCGUAGUUGUGGGUCCGUAUGGGUCGGAUGUGGGUCUCUAUGGGUCAGACGUGGGUCUCUAUGGGUCUCUAUGGGUCCCCAUUGGUGGGAUGUGGGUCACUAUGGGUCUCUAUGGGUCGCUAUGGGGCAGGGAGCCGUAGUUGUGGGUCCUUAUGGGUUGGAUGUGGGUCGCUAUGGGUCUCUGUGGGUCUCUAUGGGUCCCUAUGGGUGGGAUGUGGGUCGCUAUGGGUUGUUAUGGGUCACUAUGGGUCUCUAUGGGUCUCUAUGGGUGGGAUGUGGGUCACUAUGGGUCUCUAUGGGUUGUUAUGGGUCACUAUGGGUCUCUGUGGGUCCCUAUGGGUGGGAUGUGGGUCGCUAUGGGUCUCUAUGGGUCCGACGUGGGUCUCUAUGGGUCCCUAUGGGUGGGACGUGGGUCACUAUGGGUCUCUAUGGGUCUCUGUGGGUCUCUAUGGGUCCCUAUGGGUGGGAUGUGGGUCGCUAUGGGUCUCUAUGGGUUGUUAUGGGUCGCUAUGGGUCUCUAUGGGUUGUUAUGGGUCACUAUGGGUCUCUAUGGGUCCCUACGGGUGGGCUGUGGGUCGCUAUGGGUCGCCGUGGGGCAGGGAGCCGUGGUUCGAGGAGAACCGUGGGGCAGCCCUGGGCGGUGUGGGGCUGGCCGCCAGCUCGGGGCCCGGCGCCAUGAUGCAGCUGAAGGUGACGGCGCUGAUGAAGGCUGAGCUCUGCGUGAGUGGGGGGAAAGGGGGGAAAAAUGGGGAG